UGCAGUGAUGUCUCUCUCACGAUGGUCUGCCCAGCCCCGGGUGAGGGGCUGUGAGGACAACUCACCUCUUGGUGCUGCUGAUGCCCAGCA